rnacentral:piRNA from 1 species
UCCCUAUCAAUUAAGUAGCAUGCCCCUUA